UGGACUCGAAGGGAGUUUUGUGAUAGAUUUAACCGAAGCGAUCGGAAUGGAAGUAGACAAUGAGAGGGUUGCUGCAGAGGACGGUGGAGACGAGGUUCAGAAUGUGAAGGACUUAGAAUUACUUCAACGAUUACAGUUAGCUAAUGACAGUGAUGACGACAUUCCUUCUUCGGAGCACGAGCUUGACUAUAUCGACACGCGUGAUAGUGAUGAUGAGACUUAUGAUCCAGCUAAUCCCGAUCAUGAUGAUUAUUUCUAAUACAUGUAUGAUUCG
rnacentral:lncRNA from 1 species